rnacentral:rRNA from 1 species
GAUGAACGCUGGCGGCGUCCCUAAUACAUGCAAGUCGAGCGGACAGACGAGGAGCUUGCUCCUCUGACGUUAGCGGCGGACGGGUGAGUAACACGUGUAUAACCUACCUAUAUUACUGGGAUAACUUCGGGAAAGCGGAGCUAAUAGCAGAGAAGAUAUUGAACCGCAGGGGGCGAUGGUGAGAGACGGUGUUUCGGGCUCGUAUAGAUGGAUCCGCGCCGUAUGAGAUAGUUGGGAAGGUAAAGGCUUACCAAGGCGACUAUGCGUAGACGAGGGGCGAGGGGGAUCGGCCACAUUGGAACGGGAACACCGUCCAGAGUACUACGAGACGCAGCAGUAGGGUACCGUCCGCAAUGGGCGAAAACAUUGCGCAGCAACGCCGAGUGAGUGACGAAGGCGCUCGGAUCGUAAAACUCUCUUACUAGGGAAGAACCAAUGUGUAAGUAGCUAUGCACGUCUUGACGGUACCUAAUCAGAAAGCCCCGGCUAACUACGUG